GCAAAUCAGAAGAGGAUGUGGAAUGUAACCCAAGAAAGAGUUUACAAAGACUUCUCUGAUACCCCAAAACACAUAAGCGUUGGCAUGCCAUUGCACUGGAGGAACCAGAAUGCUGGGAGAAUUAGAACAAGACUCUGUGAAUUUCAACUAAGCUAUUUGAGAUGGAAAUCAGCCCCUCCUAGUCAUCUCUGGCCCCUUGGUCCUUAUUAAGCAACAUGGUCUGAACACGCCAUCAGUGAUGUUUUUGAAUUUGCCCAACUUACUGACAGAUCCAGCACUUCCCCACUUCUGUCAACAGCACAGCAGAAUUAAGAACUUGGGUUCUAAAAAUCCAUCUUUGUGUAUACAGCUAAUAUUUUGAUUAAGCCUCUUGGGGGAAGCUUGUAUUACAGUAUUACAGAUAUUUGCUAAAUAAGGUGAGUUGAAUAAAUACAAAAGACAGCCUAGUCCUUACCCUAAGAAGGACUUAGAUUACCAGUUGAUUUCUUUUUGUCUUUUUAUCAAAGAUAAUUACCAAUAACAGUGACUUUUUUCAAGUCAUGUGUGAUAAUGCAUUUUUGUGAAAUUUUGCUUUUAUUAAGGGUGGUAGAAGGAUGGUUCUUUCUUAAUUCAGUAACUGCUUCAGCAUAAUUUAAUACAUAUUUAGAUGAAAAGUAGAUAUUUUCACAGCCCAGUGUUACAUAUAGAGAUAAUGAAAUUGCUUUGCCAUUAAAAUUUUGAUUCAAUUUCUCCCUGGAAUGCAUUAACAGAAAACCACUUUCAUUUUUAUAGUUGAAAGAAAAAGGCAAUUUACUGUUGUGAAGUUUCAGGAGUAUUCCAAACCAGCAUAAUUCUGGAGCCUCCUAAACUCCCCACUAAGUAGAGAGAGUCUAUGAAUUUAAAACACUGGCCACAGGUAUUGUGUUUUAUCCUUAGAAAUCUGCUUCUCAUUAUUAUUUUCAUGCCUACUGCACUGGCAUUAAGAUUACUUUUCUUCAAAAGAAAAUGUAAUAAAUAUUAAUGGAAUUACCAAAAAAGUUAAUAAAUGAGUUAAUAAAUAAUAA
rnacentral:lncRNA from 10 species